GAUGAACGCUGGCGGCGUGCCUAAUACAUGCAAGUCGAGCGAACAGACGCGGAGCUUGCUCCUCUGACGUUAGCGGCGGAAGGGUGAGUAACACGUGGAUAACCUACCUAUAAGACUGGGAUAACUUCGGGAAACCGGAGCUAAUACCGGAUAAUAUAUUGAACCGCAUGGUUCAAUAGUGAAAGACGGUUUUGCUGUCACUUAUAGAUGGAUCCGCGCCGCAUUAGCUAGUUGGUAAGGUAACGGCUUACCAAGGCAACGAUGCGUAGCCGACCUGAGAGGGUGAUCGGCCACACUGGAACUGAGACACGGUCCAGACUCCUACGGGAGGCAGCAGUAGGGAAUCUUCCGCAAUGGGCGAAAGCUUGACGGAGCAACGCCGCGUGAGUGAUGAAGGUCUUCGGAUCGUAAACCUCUGUUAUUAGGGAAGAACAAAUGUGUAAGUAACUAUGCACGUCUUGACGGUACCUAAUCAGAAAGCCACGGCUAACUACGUG
rnacentral:rRNA from 1 species